rnacentral:rRNA from 1 species
UACGGAGGAUCCAAGCGUUAUCCGGAAUCAUUGGGUUUAAAGGGUCCGUAGGCGGGCAGUUAAGUCAGUGGUGAAAGUCUUCCGCUCAACGGGAGAACUGCCAUUGAUACUGAUUGUCUUGAGUUAUUAUGAAGUGGUUAGAAUGAGUAGUGUAGCGGUGAAAUGCAUAGAUAUUACUCAGAAUACCGAUUGCGAAGGCAGAUCACUAAUAAUAUACUGACGCUGAUGGACGAAAGCGUAGGUAG